rnacentral:rRNA from 1 species
UACAGAGGUGGCAAGCGUUGUUCGGAAUUACUGGGCGUAAAGGGCGCGUAGGCGGCCUUCUAAGUCGGACGUGAAAGCCCCAGGCUUAACCUGGGAACUGCGUCCGAUACUGGAAGGCUUGGAUUCGGAAGAGGAGAGUGGAAUUCCUGGUGUAGCGGUGAAAUGCGCAGAUAUCAGGAAGAACACCAAUGGCGAAGGCAGCUCUCUGGGACGGUACUGACGCUGAGACGCGAAAGCGUGGGGAGCGAACAGG